GUGAAAACCCCAGAAAAGAUAAGUUUGCCUGUUUCUAAGCAGAAAAAUAUAAAAAGGCUUCAAGUGUCUGAAAAGGGAGGACUCUAACACUAGGAAUUGUUUUGCCUAGAUGAUGGAGGAGUGGAGGAUCAACACGGCAACCCAUAUAGGCAACAAGAAGAAGUUGUUGUCCAGUCUGAAAGAGAGAGAAUGAGAGUAAGAAGGAGAGAGGCAGAGAGAGACAGAAAGACUGUGGUACUAAAGACUCUUGGCAGGUCUUUCUCUUUCCAAAGGGCCAAAGCAAGGUGGAUGCACAGCCUUUGCCCAGAAACCAUCUGAAUCUAGUAGAAGGACAGGGCCUGAAUUUUCUCCUUGCUACCCACUGGCAUGCUGCUUUGUGCCUUGGCCAAAUCCAGUAAGAGUCUGGUUGUCAUACAAGCCACUGCACAUGAAAAAUCUCUGUCAUAAUACAGUGCAGAGAAAGGAAGCCCAAGAAAUCAACAUGAAGGCAAAAAAGCCCAGAGUCAGCUGCUCCGUUCAUUGAUGGUGGACUUUUGAUUGUAGAUUGUUCAUAGAUGUGCUGGCCAAUCGGCAACACGACUCAAUAGCAGAAUUCUUUCAGUCAAGUGCCCGGUGAUAGAACACCAUCAGCCCCAGGUUGCAGCCAGAAAGAACAGCAAGGCUUGCAUAGUGCCUUCCAACAUCAGGAGAUCUGGUUUUCACAGUGAGGAGCUUCCAGCCAUGCAGCAACGAUUUAACUAGAACCACAACCAAAGAGGCAGAGAUCAGCAAAG